rnacentral:rRNA from 1 species
GCACAAGCGAGGAACAUGUGGUUUAAUUCGAUGAUACGCGAGGAACCUUGCCCGGGUUUGAACGUANGGAGACAGGGGUGGAAACAUCCUUUUCAGCAAUGACUGCCUACGAGGUGCUGCAUGGUUGUCGUCAGCUCGUGCCGUGAGGUGUCGGCUUAAGUGCCAUAACGAGCGCAACCCUUAUUUUCAGUUACUAACAGGUGAUGCUGAGGACUCUGAAGAGACUGCCAGCGUAAGCUGUGAGGAAGGUGGGGAUGACGUCAAAUCAGCACGGCCCUUACAUCCGGGGCGACACACGUGUUACAAUGGUAAGGACAAAGGGCAGCUACCGGGCGACCGGAUGCGAAUCUCUAAACCUUAUCUCAGUUCGGAUCGGAGUCUGCAACUCGACUCCGUGAAGCUGGAUUCGCUAGUAAUCGCGCAUCAGCCAUGGCGCGGUGAAUACGUUCCCGGGCCUUGUACACACCGCCCGUCAAGCCAUGGGAGCACGGGGGUACCUGAAG